UACGUAGGGGGCAAGCGUUGUCCGGAUUUAUUGGGCGUAAAGAGCGUGUAGGCGGCCAGGUAGGUCCGUUGUGAAAACUCGAGGCUCAACCUCGAGACGUCGAUGGAAACCAUUUGGCUAGAGUCCGGAAGAGGAGAGUGGAAUUCCUGGUGUAGCGGUGAAAUGCGCAGAUAUCAGGAAGAACACCUAUGGCGAAGGCAGCUCUCUGGGACGGUACUGACGCUGAGGCGCGAAAGCGUGGGGAGCAAACAGG
rnacentral:rRNA from 1 species